AAUUAUGCAUAACUUUUCAAUCCGACCGCCAAUUACCAGUAAACCAUAAAUAACUAAUCGAAGGGAGUGACUGCGGAGCACGAAAACGAAGAAGAAAAUGGAGAAAACAGAAGACUUGAAGUCGAUUCUACCCUACUUGCCAUUGUUGGUUCGAGCAUCAACUCUGUUUUGGCCAUCCAAAGCAGUCGUAAAUCAAUGGCGAAAGGACCCGAACACAUCCGGAUUAACUCCGGAGAACUGCUUUCUGUUGCCAUUUGUGAUAUCCGAAGCUUGGUCUCUCUCUUUGAACCUCUCGCUCCUUUUGCCUUCAACGAUUGCGUGCUUUCCUUUGAUGAUGUUUGGUUAUGCCGUGCAAUCAUGAAGAACUUGCUAGGAAUCACACUGAAUUGAUUGGUGCUCUUCUUGCUUGCUUGUUCUUUUGUUUGUUCCCAGUCACUAAUAGAGGUUCAAACCAUCUUCCAACCAUCAACUUUGAUGAAUUGUUUGCAUAUGUAACCUUAAGCUUUUUAGUGGACCAUUUAAAAUAUAUCAUGCAUGUUAGGUAUAUCAUAGUGAAAUAUGGAUAUUUGAAUAUGUGUGAUAUUUAGGCUUGUAGAGAUUUGUAUAGUGUGAUGGAUAGAGUGUCUUGCACCAAUGGCUAAGAUUUGAAAGUAAUUAAAAUUUGGUUAAAGAUUAUUAUCAUAUGUUAUGGUAAAGAAAUAUUAGGAAUUUCCAUGCUCACCUGAUGGUUAUAAUGUCUCAGUAUGAGCAGGUGCUAUCAUCAAACAAAAAUUUUUAGUUCCUGAGUUAGCAAUUUUGCUUUAUGAUUGAUUUAAUUUUCAUGGGUUUGGCUAAUGAAAUCAAUCGACUUUUUCUUCAAUUUGGUUUAUUUUGUUUAAAACUCUUACAAAUGUCAACUUUUUUUUUUGAAAAAAAGAAUUCUUGAAGCUAGUAAAUGAAUUGUGUAAAACUUUUAUCUUUUUUAGGAGUCUAUAUGAAAGUUAUAGCGAAAAUCAGGAAAAUAAAAUAAAGUGCAUUGUACAUUAUUUUAAAAGGAUAUCUUCAUUUAUGUGUGUUGGAUUUGUCUCAUUUGAGCGAAAGGUUCUUCCUUUAGACUGUCAUUGUUUAUUCAUCUCUUAUACCAAUGCUGAUGCUUGGAGCAAAUCAAUUGUACCCCUCUGCCCUUUUGAGGUAAUUCAAGAUACUUCUACAAUUACUAUGUUCAGUUGUAUUUGUUUAGUUUCACAAUUUUUAGAUAUUGAUGAAGCACACAGUUUAGUCUCAAUAGAAGAUCUCUUCACUGAUUCUCUAUCAAUAUAAUUACUACAUUCAGUUUUAUUUGUUUAGUUACACGGGGCUUCCUCAACUGCCAUUGAAACAAAUGAAGGAACAUCUAUCAAUCUAAUGCUCAGAAAUUCUGACCCAAAGAGUAGUCAGUUUCGGAACCAUAAGGAUUUUCCGUGUAUUGUGACUGGGAAUUGGGGAUGUGGUGCUUUUGGGGGAGAUCCCGAACUGAAGGCUGUAAUUCAGUGGCUUGCAGCUUCACCAGUAAACUAUUCUUUGUAAGAAAGUUCCUUACUUUGUAAAGGUAUUGCUGUAAACUCCCACCUUAUGAAAAUAUAUAUAUGAUUAUUUCUACCAAGAUACUCAAUAUACAUCAUCUCUUGGGUGGAAGGGCUAGUAGACCAAGCCUUAAUUUUCUGGGAAGUUUCUAAAUUUUUUUGGUGCAGGUUUUCCUGAUUCUUUUCUUUAUGUGAGAAGUUUAGUUUUAGAAAAGAAAUGAUGAUAGAAGAACUAUAUCUCUCCCACCUCAUUUUUUUUUCUUGUUUUUGUCACUGGUAUUUAAAUAUUUUUCUUUCUGGCUUUAAGACCUUCUAUGUCAUACCAUACAUUUAGCAUUGAGGCAUCAGAGAACCUGGGUCAGGUACUUAUCUUGUUCUUGCUAUUGCAAUUUAUUCUUCUUUCAUUAUCAUUAUGAAUCCGCAUAAUUCAUGUAUAUGGCUAGAUGUUUUAUAACAUCAUGUCAUGUGGCUUUAUGAUAUUUGUUUCUUGGUUCAUGUCCUAAUUUGUGAAAUAUAUGGCUAGUAUUGUGAUGAGAAUUUGUUUGACAUUGAUAUACAGGUGACAGUUGGGGACCUCUAGAAUAUGAUGGCAGAAUACUCAUCACAACGAUUGAAGGAUGAAACAAAUCUUGGGUUCUUUACUGGCUCCUUCCAUCAUUAACAUCUCAUUAAUCAAAGAUAUUUGACUCCCCAUAUAUUUGUUAGCUUCAUUUUUAGGAAGAUUAAUUGAGAUAGCUUUGCACUGUUUUCUUUUCUGUAAAUCAUUUUCUUUGAGUUGUAAGUUCCUGUGAAAAAUGAAAUCUGUAGUUGUUCGGCCAAAUUGGGAUUAUUUUGCAAAUUUAAAUAAUGCAUUCUCCUGUACCUUUC